rnacentral:misc_RNA from 1 species
UGUUCCUGGUUAAGAUGAUUGAGCAAAAAGGAUCCAUUCACAGCUCCGGCAACAUCUCUGGAAUAACUGUGUGAAGGAACUCUGCCAAGAGCUGGAAUUGCAGUUAACAUAGAAGCUUGAGGCAUAGAUAGCUGUAUCAUCUGGUUAAUAACUGCCAUUUGAAGGAGUCUGCAACACAGUGUGACCAAUUGCCUCAGUGUGUCCAGGUCUAUCCUAGUUUCCUGAGGCACAUACUUCCCAUCUUACAAGUGGAAAUAGAGCAAAAACCAUAUACACAGGCUCUUGGGAUUUGAAUGUGAAAUGAUGCUCAAAUGUUGGACUACUUAUCCUCACUUUGGGGAGCAGCUUGGAGCACAGAUAUCUGUACCAUCUGCUUAGAAACUUCCAUUUGAAGAAGUUUGCAAUAUGGUGUGAUCAAGUUGCUUCGGAGGUAUGACGGGGAACGUGCUCUAUGAAACAGAACCCUAGAAACACUUACUGAAUUUGAACUUUGUGUUGCUUUCUGAUAUCCGUGCUUGGGAUUCUGAAUGACUCCAGUUGGAUUUGAUUGGACCCASGGUAGCGAGAGAAAUGAGGGGACAAGGCAUACACAUAGUGCAUAAGCAGGUCAGCCAACCUCAUAAACAGGCACCUCACUAGAAACAUCUGCACAGCCUUUUAGUGAAGAGUUGGGUAUCUAGAGCUAUCAUGAUUGAGUGGGAAGGAGAUCACUGCCUCCCUCAGGAGGCCUUCCUGAGAUUUGUGAGAUGGCAAGAAUGAGAUUGGGAAAGUGGGRAGACAGAAGGCCUCGUCCUUGUCCUGAGCAUCGAGUCCCUGCUGGCUCUCAAGAGUCUGCUCCACUUCUUGCAAGGUCACACACUUUUAUUUUAUGUUACAGUCAGGCUGAAAGAGACAUGGAGCACUCUGGGGGUAUUAACCAGGAAGAAAUACAAUUCAGAUUUAAGCAGAGGAAAGAGAAGCCUCAGCCAGCUGCAUGGGAACAGGAAGGACAUUACAUGCUACUUUAGCUGGUCUCUUUCCUGCUGGGGCAAGUCAAUGCGUAAAUGAUAAAAUUUAUAGUGCAUGGAGGGUUGAGAGCCAGACUCGCAUCAUUUGAGUCUGAAUUCCGGUCCUGAAUAGAGUGCUUAUUGUCUCCCUUGGUCCCCCUCUUCCAAUGGAACCAGUCUCUGCCGGGUAGCAUCACAGAGUCUUCUCACAGAGUUGGAGGUAUUAGCAAAGCAGGGCUUGGUUUGGAGAGUGAGACAUUGACACUGAUCUUUAGUUAAAAUGGUCUCUUCUCAGGAAGACUCAUGACAUCAUACAUUUCUAGAACAGGACAGAUCUUCAAAAACAUGAACUGCAAGUUUCCUAUCCAUAGUGGAAGGUGGAAACGGAAGGAAGAAGGCAUGGUCCGGUCUUUCAGGAAGACUCUGCAGGAAGGAUACCACGGACAAGGGCUGAAAAUCUAAAUCCAACUCUGAAAACAUCACGUGACAGACACUGCCUUACCAUGUACACACCCAGAUGAUCCAACUUUCAUGUCAAGACAGUGUUCAUCUGAAAAAGACCCAAAAAAAAAAAAAAAAAAAAAAAAAAAAAAAAAAAAAAAAAAAAAAAAAAAAAAAAAAAAA